rnacentral:misc_RNA from 1 species
UCAAACUUGGUCAUUUAGAGGAAGUAAAAGUCGUAACAAGGUUUCCGUAGGUGAACCUGCGGAAGGAUCAUUAUCGAUAUGAUAACAAUCAUUAUAAACCAUGUGUGCAGUUAUUGAGAAAUUGAAGGAGGGGGAAGUUUUUUACCUCCUCUUUUUUUUUUUAUCUUUUACAUAUUAUUUUUGUCGUUUGUUUAUAAUAUAUUAAAUAAAACAAAAAAAAACUUUCAACAACGGAUCUCUUGGCUCUCGCAUCGAUGAAGAACGCAGC